rnacentral:lncRNA from 1 species
GCCAACCUUUCUCCUCCAAGGGCGCGGCGCGUUGGGACACACGGACGCGCUGCGUUGAGCACAAGAGGUCUCACAGUGCCGGGAGUCUUGUCGAGAGAUCUGCGUUUCACCGUGCGUUGUCGGUCCUCGUAAAUUUUCCCGUCCACCUGCUUUGGCCCUCUCUCUCGUCCCUGUGGCACUUUUUUUGCAGAGAUUUCGAAGUGAGGGAAAGACGCAAACAGGGACAGUUCCCGCGAACGGACGGCAGAAACUCUGACCGUUGCGAGCGGACGGAAACGCGCACUGAGCUGACGAGCUGCGGGGGGAAAACCCAACCGUCGGAAAUAAGAAACGCCAGAAGACUGUGUGUCGCUUGAGGAGUGCAGCGGAAAGAAAAAACCCGCGUUUCGGAGAAGAAAUGCGUUGCUGCGGCCUCUAGCCUACGUGGCUGCUCGUUCAAAACGCCAGCGGGGAAUCCGCCAAGGGCACGGACCGCCGCGCCGCAGUGACGCCAAGAACAAAAAAAGAGAGACUCAGAAGUCUUUUAGGAAAUGGCAUCCAAUUUUAAGGUUUCUGUUCCAUGAACUACGACGGCCCCUCCGCGUUUCCAUCUCUCUCGCCCGGCCGUGGAGCAGGUUUGAUUCUUCAGUCGAGUCCACGCGAGUGUACCCGCGAGUGUAAAGGUGCAUCGAGAUCGAAGAACGUCUUGUCUGCUGUGUCCCUCCCAGUGUGUUGAUACCGUAGAGAUGCAAGGAACAGAAAUAUGAGUGCACGCAGGUUCGUUUGUGAGCGUUGCAACCUUCUCUGAUUCGGAAUGUCUCCGCUCGUUGCCUAGUGCAUUUUUCGGCGGUGAUUCACCUCGACGGAACCUGAAUCCCUCUCGUGAGUGGCAUGGCGGGUUUGAGACUCUCGAAAAAGCUAGGCCUUUCUACUUUCCUCGUCGGUGUUUCUCCACACCGGCACUCAGAAAAAGAGCACAGGGUGUACACGUGAGACACGCAACUGCCCCCCGGUGGGUGUGGUGGGAAAGAAAUCAAGUUGUUUCUUCGUCAGGAUCCUUUGACCUGGAAUGUCUUUUUUUCUGUGCGGACAAACGCGCAAAUAGCCUCUUUCUACCCGGAACUCGCUCGUGAGGCCAGAGAGCUGCAUCGAUCUCUCCGUAGUUCCCGCGUCUGUCUACGACUCCCUUUCGCUUUCUGUUGGAAGCAGAGAAGUGUGCCAUUACCGCUUUGAUCAACACAAAAGUAAGAGUGAUGUGCACGCGUACACAAAGCAGAGUUCCGUCUUUUGUAGGGAGUUCUCGCGAAAGAAGCACGGAGGGCUCGAACGAGUCAUCCCUGCACUAAACUCACG